rnacentral:rRNA from 1 species
CCUACGGGUGGCAGCAGUGAGGAAUAUUGGUCAAUGGACGAGAGUCUGAACCAGCCAAGUAGCGUGAAGGAUGACUGCCCUAUGGGUUGUAAACUUCUUUUAUAUGGGAAUAAAACAGGGUAUGCAUACCCUCUUGUAUGUACCAUAUGAAUAAGGAUCGGCUAACUCCGUGCCAGCAGCCGCGGUAAUACGGAGGAUGCGAGCGUUAUCCGGAUUUAUUGGGUUUAAAGGGUGCGCAGGCGGUCUGUUAAGUCAGCGGUCAAAGCCCGGGGCUCAACCCCGGCCCGCCGUUGAAACUGGUAGUCUCGAGUUGGAGAGAAGUAUGCGGAAUGCGCGGUGUAGCGGUGAAAUGCAUAGAUAUCGCGCAGAACUCCGAUUGCGAAGGCAGCAUGCCGGCUCCACACUGACGCUGAGGCACGAAAGCGUGGGUAUCGAACAGGAUUAGAUACCCUGGUAGUC